ACUCUGUCAACCAAGCUGGAGUGCAGAGGUGCCAUGAUGGCUCAACCGCAGCCUCGACCUCCUGGGCUCAGUUGAUCUUCCCAAGUAGCAGGGAAUGGAGUCAUGUGCCACCAUGCCCAGCUACUUUUUGUAUUUUUUUUAUAGAGAUGGGAUUUCACCAUGUUGCUCAGGCUGGUGGCCAACUUCUUAGCUCAAGUUAUCUGCCCACCUCGGCCUUCCAAAGUGCUGGGAUUACAGGCAUGAGCCACUGCACCUGGCCCUGGACUGUCUUCUUAAUGCCCCAGAAGGUGACUAGCAGAAUAGAAAUGUUCUUAUGCCGGCUGGGCACAGUGGCUCACACCUUGUCAUCCCAGCACUUUGGGAGGCUGAGGCAGGCGGAUCAUGAAGUCAGGAGAUCAAGACCAUCCUGGCUAACAUGGUGAAACCCCAUUUCUACUAAAAAUCCAAAAAAUUAGCUGGGCAUGGUGGAGGGCACCUGUAGUCCCAGCUACUAGGGAGGCUGAGGGAGGAGAAUGGCGUGAACCUGGGAGGCGGAGCUUGCAGUGAGCUGAGAUCGUGCCACUGCACUCCAGCCUGGGCGACAGAGCGAGACUCCAUCUCAAAAAAAAAAAAAAAAAAAAGGUCCUUAUGGCAAAGUCUGAAGAUUUUUAAGUAUCUCAAGAAAGGAGUUUUUUGUUGCAAGUUCAAAGCAGUAGAAAAAAUGAAGAAAUAUAGCUUCCUCUUAUCAAAAUGACCUGCAGAAGUUUGAAAAACUCUUCCAUCUCCCCAUCCCAUGGAAGGCAUCUUCAACAGUCCUGUUCCAUUUAUAGACUCUGUAGAAGGAACAGUUCUUAUAACAUGAUGCCAAAAUUAUUCUAGUUCACACACAAACAAGUUGUCCUGUAAUUCUGCUGUGGGCCUCCUCAUAUUAGGAAGAAAUUAAGAAAAAUAUAGUACCACCAGUUUGUUAUGCAACCACUUCGAAAAUGUUUACUUUGCUUAAAAUGUCAUGGCUAAAGAAACUACUCGUCUGCAUAAUCCACUCUUGACAGUGAUUCAUAACUGUGUGACAUUUGGGCUUGGUCAGGCUUUACUCCAGUCAGAUUGAGUCUUUCCUUAAAAAGGGGAUAUAUUUUCAAUUUCAGAGUAUUUACUGCUUCAUGACAAAUAUUAAUAACAAGUCUGUGGCUUCGAGGCCUCAUACCUUUGAGACUACCACAGUCUACUUAGCAUUUUUUUUUUUUUUUACUUAGACCUUUUGAAUUUGCUUUUAAUUUAUACCCCUGGCCUUGUUCUCUUGACCAAAUAAAAGCCCUAAGAGAGCUUCCACUGCCAGCAGCCUUCCAAUUUGCUCUGUUCCCCCUUGGGCCCUGUUGAUUGGGCCCAGUGAUCACCUAAAAAGAGUGCAAAGAGUCAGGAAGGCUUGUGGGUUCAGUCUUUCUGUGCUAACACCAGGCCACAUCCAGGCCUGAUGUACUAACUGAUCUCCAGUUCAUUCCUUUUGCAAUUUUUGGCCUUGAUUCAUAGUUCCUGAUUCUUGAUUGGCUCUGAAAUCCUCCCCAUUUUCAAAAGGGAUGCAGUCAAGCAGGCCAAAGCGCUCCAUGUUAGCUAACAAAUGUUUGCAAAUCAUAAUAAUGUAGGAAGAGAACCAUAAACUAAAUGAACAACAGGCAUUAGCCCUCAUGCUGUCACAUAAGCAUUCCUCAAAAUAUAAUCAUGCUUCUAAACAUGGGCUGGCAAUUCAGGAAAGGGCCACUGAAAAUAUUAGCCUCGUUCUUUUCUCUGUAGAGUGAGCACAGACUAUUCCUAAACCACAUUGCAGUAUGCCAACAUUGUAAAUUAAUGCCUGAUUGGUUACCUAGAAGUAAGACAAUCUUACUUUUAGGCAUCUAGAACACUGAGAAAUCCAGGAUGGACACUUAACACUACCAAAGAUUGAUCUAUUUUGGGUAAGUAUACUUCUGAUCUCUUUUUGAGGACUGUAUUAGUCCAUUUUCACACUGCUAUAAAGAACUGCCUGAGGCUGGGUAAAUUAUAAAGGAAAGAGGUUUCAUUGACUCAGAGUUCUGCAUGGCUGGGGAGGCCUCAGGAAACUUAACAGUUAUGGCAGAAGGCAAGGGAGAAGCAGGUACCUUCUUUACAAGGCGGCAGAAGAGACAGAGAGGGCAGGGGAAACUGCCAUUUUUAAGCUAUCAGAUCUUGUCAGAACUCCGUCACUAUCACGAGAAGAGCAUGAGGGAAACUGCCCCCAUGACCCAAUCACCUCCCACCAUCCCCCGCUCAACACGUGGGGAUGACAAUUCAAGAUGGAAUUGUGUGGGGACACAGAGCCAAACCAUAUCAAGUACCUACAAAAUUAUGGUGACUCUUCACUAAUUUGCAAACUGAUUAUCUGCAAAUCUUAAAUAGGGAAUAAAACACAAAAAUAUCAUUAUCCCUCCAGAACUGAGGACGCAAAUUGGAUUUAGAAGACUUAGCUUUGACACCUAGAUAUGUUUUCAUUGAUUUGACCUAACUUGAUCUCAGUUUCUCUUUUAUAGAGUUAGUUCUUUAGAUCAGAGGUCCCCAACCCCAGGACUGCGGACUGCCACUGGUCUUUGGCCUGUCAGGCACCCGGCCACACAGCUGGAGGUGAGUGGCAUCAAGCAAGCAUUACCACCUGAGCUCCAACUCUAGUCAGAUCAAUGGUGGCAUUACAUUCUCAUAGGAGUGUGAACCCUAUUGUGAACUGCACAUACAAGGGAUCUAGGUAACAUGCUCCUUAUGAAAAUCUAACUAAUGCCUGAUGAUCUGAGCUGAAACAGUUUAGGCCAAAACCAUCCCUCCUGCACCCCAUUUUGUCUUCCAAGACAAAAGAUUAUUCAAGGUUGCUAUGAACACCUUUAUGUGGACAAACUAGAAAACCUAGAGGAGAUGGAUAAAUUCCUGGAAAUAUACAACCCUCCUAUAUUAAACCAGAAAUAAAAAUAAAUCAGAAACUGAGCAGAACAAUAACAAGUAGUGAGGCUGAAACAGUAAUAAGAAAAAUUGCCAAGAAAAAAUAAUCGAGGACCAGAUGGAUUCACAGCUGAAUUCUAUCAGACAUUCAAAGAAGAACUGGUACCAAUGCUAUUGAAACUAUUCCAAAAGAUAGAAUAAAACCAGUAUUACCCUAAUACCAAACCCAGGAAAGGACAUAACAAAAAAAGAAGACUACAGACCAAUAUCCCUGAUGAAGAUAGAUGCAAAAAUCCUCAACAAAAGGAUUCUCAACAAAAUACUAGCUAACCAAAUACAAUAGCAUAUCAAAAAGAUAAUACACCAUGAUCAAGUUGGUUUC
rnacentral:lncRNA from 1 species